AGUAGCUGAUUGAAAGCAUAGCUGACUUAGGGAAUUUUCCAGAUCAACUGUUUUGUCCUUAAAUUUAAAAUCUAUUUUAAGCUCACCUUGAAUUUUCACUUUAGCGGAAAACCCUGUUGGACUACUGACACCAGAUCCACAACAUGUAAUAGUGUCUAGAGAGGUGCUUAGAGAGACCCUUUAACCUUCAAAACAAAAAUGGAAAUACAUGUAGAUGAAGUUAUGAGAUAUAUAUUGCAGAGCGCAAUUAUAAAGAACCCUAAAUUCAUAGGUAGUCACCACUGAUAACUGUGAUCAUUCAUAUUAUGCAGAAUGGGACAGUCCUAAACACUGU